GAGAAUAUAGCUCAGGGGUAGAGCGUGUGCUUAGCGUGCACAAGGUCCUGGGUCCAAUCCCCAGUACCUCCA
rnacentral:tRNA from 1 species